UACGUAGGGGGCGAGCGUUGUCCGGAUUUAUUGGGCGUAAAGAGCUCGUAGGCGGCUUGUCAAGUCGGGUGUGAAACCUCCAGGCUCAACCUGGAGACGCCACUCGAGACUGUCAUGGCUAGAGUCCGGUAGGGGAUCACGGAAUUCCUGGUGUAGCGGUGAAAUGCGCAGAUAUCAGGAGGAACACCGAUGGCGAAGGCAGGUCUCUGGGCCACUACUGACGCUGAGAAGCGAAAGCAUGGGGAGCGAACAGG
rnacentral:rRNA from 1 species